UUAAUGUUGACGAACACUUUGGGAAAGUUCCGUCUGCACGUUAAGUUUAAUCUACUGCGAGGGAGUCAGCCGAGGGCUGCCGAAGAUUUGCAUUACACGUACUGCCUAUUUGAUAUUGCCAAUCUACUUAGCAUUGACCUGUGACUUGUUCAGUUGUGAAGAUGUGUUACAAAGUAACAUGCGAAAAGUGUCAGAAAUACACCUGGAAAGGGUGUGGCAAGCAUGCAGAGCAAGUCCUGAAGGAUGUACCAACAGAAGAACGGUGCCAAUGUCCAAAGACCAGUUAAGCUCGGUGAGAAGCAGUCAACACUUUCCUGUUUAAUCCAGUGAGAAAAAAGGGGACAAUGUCCACAAUUUGUCUUUUGUGAAUAAAGGCAAUAAUUUACGUGUACACUUUGGUGGUGUUUGGCUUGGGUAAAUUGUGCUGGCAUAUGCUGAGUGAAAAUGUGAAAGUUGCUCAUUUCAUUGGUUUUAGCAUAUUAAAUGGGAGAAAAAUUACAGUAUAGGUACAGUACACUAGGGAAUUUAGUUCCCUUCAUGAACAGUUUAGGGAACUUGUUAAAUCAACUAGGGAAUUGAGUCUAAUUGUGUGAAGAUGCCUAACAAUUGAUUUGAAAUAUGACUCAAUCUUAAUAAGCUUCACAAAGGAAUAUUGAAUUAAAUGGUAUAGCUAAAAUGUCACUGUGAGGAAGGAGGGAUGACUUUAUAAUCACAGUACUGAUGAUCUGAUGAGAGUUUUGGACAUAAAAUAGAAACAUACAGUGUACCCUCUCCAUUCAUGUUUUAGUAGGGGCUAAAAUGCCAAUUUUUCAUUCGUUUUAUUCCGGAAAAACUGCAGAUUUUAGUUACAUUUGUUUUGUCAUAAGUACACAAGUCAUGGGAAGCAGUACAGACAGUUACUGCUUUCGCGGGUCUCUUUUGUUGUUCACUAAAUGCAUGAACAGACCUUGGUGGCCGGAUAGAUGCCGACGUUUUGUGUGAAAUCCACGUUGAUUCAACUACUGCAUGACUGUUUACAGUGGUCUAAUGACCAAUGGAUUAAAUUUUACCAAUGCAUGAUCAAAAUACUGCCAUUUUUUUUAUACGUUACUUAACAACAUUAAUCUGUUAUAAAUUUAUAUUCCAACUUUUCGAAAGUAAUUUUACUUUAUAUGCAGUGUUGCUCAAAAGCUUUUAAAAGAGGACAAGCUUACUUUCUCGGGAUUCUAACCCAUGGCCUUGUCCUUACAUGUGCAUUGUCUUUAGCCAUGAACACUUUAAUAUUGAUCUUAUCCCAGCAAACAUGGCGGCUGAGUGGUUGAGAUGUCAGCACCUGUAAGAAAUGGGUCCAACCAGAGCAAUGUGGUUGAUUUUUUCCCCCUUUACAGCCGUAACGUGAUUUCCAAAUUCUGUAGUUACAGCAGUGUACAAGCAUUGUAAAUGUACAUGUAUGCAUGUAUAUUGUUAUUGGAUUUCACAAAGCCAGCAAGGUGAUGCAGUGCCUCUCUGAUAUACACAUGUUGCUCGCCAUGCACUACGUUUCAGGUCCGAGGCCCACAUUGAUCAUCUUUUUUAUGAAUUUCUUUGAUACUCACUUGUUCUAUUUUCCUCAUCCAAUGGUUACUUUCCUCUGAUUUUCCCCUUUUCUACAUACUCUUUGAGGCCUUUUUUUUGGGGGGGGGAGGAAAUGUCUUAGAUCCAUUUGUUCCAGACUAGUCUGGUACCUAAUUCCAAUUCUGCAGAUUGAUUCUAAAGAAUUCGACAGCAACCAUUCGGAAGUGCUGUAACUAUGGCAACUGCAUGUGUUUUUUUUGGGGGGUAAGGGGGCUAGGGAAAGGGGGGUUUCAUUAAUUUCUUGGACAGCACUGACUCUAUAUUGCUUAACAUUAAACAACACUGGAUAAGGAUUAAAGACAGUGUAUAAAAGUUCUCCCUGCUAACAGGAGCACUGAGAUUCAGUGAGACAGGGAGUCAUGAGGCGAGCUGUGCUCAAAACUCUUGGCUGUGCACUUCGUGAAAGCCAAUGAGUCUGUGUUACUGAAAGCUGUAACUGAGGCUUUUGGACAUAGCAUUUACUUGGAAACGCUGACAUUCCUCAUCACAAGAUGGCCAGUAAUAUAGGUAUUGCAAAAAUGGAAUUCCAUGGCAAACUUGUGAUGUACAGAGAGCACUAUUGUGAACAUACAUGUAUGGAUUUGGUUGUAACUUACCAGUGCACUUGUCUAACCUCAUCUGCUGGCCUCAGUGCUUAAACUAAACCUCGACAUGACAAAUUCAACAAGUCUCAACAAAUCCAAAUGCAGUUGGGAUGUGAAAUGCUGCACCAUGUGCUACAUUUUGCAUUGAACUUGUUUCUGGUGAGAAACAUGAUUUAAGGUUCAUUAUAUAUUUAUGGUUAGUUUGGAUUGUAUGGGCACUAUGGCCUCCAUGUCUCUUCAGACUGAAAGUGAUAUGCACAUUGAAAACAAAGGUGUUUAAUGAACCAUUUAGGGAAAUUUCCCACCUCACUCUCUUUGAGUGGAAGUUGAAAUGAAGGUUUGCUUUUGUUAACAGUGAAGUAAUCUUUGCAAUGAACUGAACAAUUUCCAUUUUGUAUUUAAUUACCAUUUUUAAGUCGAGGCCCAACUGAGGAGGGGUCAUAGGUUACAGACUGGCCAUUUGUUGCUUUGCUUGUACCCCAUGCCAGUUUCCUCAUGACAAAUAUUUACAAUGAGAUUUUGAGCUCUUUAUAUAUGCUAAUAUAUAUGUAGUUAUAAAUAACUGGUCACUGGGUAAACAGGAACUAUUGAGCCUGCAUUCUGUAAUUGUUCACACUGUCAAAUAGAUGACGGGUGGUUUCCAGUUUGCAAAGGCAUUGGCGUAUACAAAACUCUUUAAAGCAUGAUGCUGUCCAAGAUUUUUAAAAUACAUGUAUUCAACUCUGAAGAUCACAAGCUAUUCUUCAAGAUUAGUGGUGCCUCCUAUUAUUGUUUUGCAUGUACAUGGCUAAUUAUUAAACCCAAAUGUAAACUCGUCAGAUUUUGAAUGUGCCAAUGCACAGUUGUAAUGUUGAAUUGAUGACUUUUCUUCUCCAAUUCAACAAAGCUGUACGAAAAAUCUGGAUAAGCCAAAUGUUGAAUCCAGGGAAGCCAUGCAUGUCACUCUGUGACAAAGAUGUAAUUACGGGUAGAAAAAUUAAAAGGCACUACAGCCUCUAAAGUAUUCCCGCAUUCUAUAUGUAUGGCCAAAAAAUGUAGGUUGUCACGUUUCAAUUUGUAUCGUUUACCCAUUUCAAUUAAUUACAAUGUCAUACAGGGGAGUUGACAUUUAAGGACUUUAGAAAACAAUUGUUUAAUGAAUCGAAAGUGAUCAUGGUUGUUAUUUUCCUAUUUGAUGUGUACAACUGUAGGUGUACCAGUUGAAGGCAAAUUCUCUUUCUGUAUAUUAAUAAUAAUUGCCGAUUCCUGAAAUAAAAAAGUACUAAUUUAAUCGAACUAUACCCUUUAAUGAAAAUCUUUCUGCAAUCAUUUGUUUCAGACACGUGUUUGAAAUUGUAAUUCAAAACGUUAUUUUUCAUGUUUUGCAUGGUGUGCUACCUAAUAUUGUGAAAAAAUUUUUAAAAAUGAA